rnacentral:rRNA from 1 species
UACGUAGGGUGCGAGCGUUAAUCGGAAUUACUGGGCGUAAAGCGUGCGCAGGCGGUUCGUUAUGUCCGAUGUGAAAGCCCCGAGCUUAACUUGGGAAUGGCAUUGGAAACUGGCGGGCUGGAGUGCGGUAGAGGGGGGUGGAAUUCCACGUGUAGCAGUGAAAUGCGUAGAGAUGUGGAGGAACACCGAUGGCGAAGGCAGCCCCCUGGGCCGACACUGACGCUCAGGCACGAAAGCGUGGGGAGCAAACAGG